rnacentral:ncRNA from 1 species
GAGGAGUUUUAUUCUUGCUCAUUCGUUCGUUAUUUUGCUUGCUCUAUAUGUAAGUUUGUGCGUGGUUGUUCAUUGGUUCUAGAUGGUCUGGUGGGGUUGGCUGUUAAUUCUCAUUAGUUGUUAUUAUUAAUCAAGUAUCCUUGUAGUUAGUAAUGUAUUUUAGUUUCGGUUAAAUUUUGUGCCAGCAGCCGCGGUUAUACUUUGGAUGCAAUUGAACGUGUUUGGCUUAUUGGUAGUUACAUGGUUUGGAUUAGUGGGUUUUAUGUUGGGAGGUUGGUUGGGUGAAAUUUUUAUUUUUGUUAUUUUUCCUUUUUUUUUGUUUGGAGGCUAUGAAAUUCUUUCUUUAAACUAGGAUUAGAUACCCUAUUAUUUUAGGAUGUUAAUUUUUGUGUCGGAGUAGUAUUAGGUAUGUUCUUGAAACUUAAAGAAUUUGGCGGUAUCUUAUUCCGUUCAGAGGAAUCUGUCUCGUUAUCGAUAGUCCGCGUUGGACCUUACUUAGUUGUUAUGGUUUGUAUACCGCCGUUUAUUGAUUAUGCUUUUAGGGUUUUUAAUUUUCUGGUUUCUUUAUUUUGAUUUAUUUCAGGUCAAGGUGCAGCUUGUUUCUAAGUGUUAUUGAUGGAUUACAUUGGUUUAUUGUUGUUUGGAUUGUCAGUUGAAUUAUUGGUAUGAAAUUGGAUUUGAUUGUAAUGUUUUGAAGAUUGUUUUCGUGAUAAUUGGUUCUAAGAUAUGUACACAUCGCCCGUCGCUCUCGUUUGUUGUUAAUGAGAUAAGUCGUAACAAAGUGGUUGUACCGGAAGGUGUGGCUGGAGUGAG